GAUUCUGGCUCAGAACGAACGCUGGCGGCAGGCCUAACACAUGCAAGUCGAGCGCGCCCUUCGGGGUGAGCGGCGGACGGGUUAGUAACGCGUGGGAACGUACCCUUUGGUAGGGAAUAGCCACUGGAAACGGUGAGUAAUACCCUAUGAGCCCUUCGGGGGAAAGAUUUAUCGCCAAAGGAUCGGCCCGCGUUAGAUUAGGUAGUUGGUGGGGUAAUGGCCUACCAAGCCUACGAUCUAUAGCUGGUUUUAGAGGAUGAUCAGCAACACUGGGACUGAGACACGGCCCAGACUCCUACGGGAGGCAGCAGUGGGGAAUCUUGGACAAUGGGGGCAACCCUGAACUCCAGCCAUGCCGCGUGAGUGAAGAAGGCCUUAGGGUCGUAAAGCUCUUUCGCCUGUGAAGAUAAUGACGGUAGCAGGUAAAGAAACCCCGGCUAACUCCGUGCCAGCCGCCGC
rnacentral:rRNA from 1 species